rnacentral:rRNA from 1 species
AUUGAACGCUGGCGGCAUGCCUUACACAUGCAAGUCGAACGGCAGCGGGGGAGAAGCUUGCUUUUCCUGCCGGCGAGUGGCGAACGGGUGAGUAAUACAUCGGAACGUGCCCUGUAGUGGGGGAUAACUAGUCGAAAGAUUAGCUAAUACCGCAUACGACCUGAGGGUGAAAGUGGGGGACCGCAAGGCCUCAUGCUAUAGGAGCGGCCGAUGUCUGAUUAGCUAGUUGGUGGGGUAAAGGCCUACCAAGGCGACGAUCAGUAGCUGGUCUGAGAGGACGAUCAGCCACACUGGGACUGAGAAACGGCCCAGACUCCUACGGGAGGCAGCAGUGGGGAAUUUUGGACAAUGGGCGAAAGCCUGAUCCAGCAAUGCCGCGUGUGUGAAGAAGGCCUUCGGGUUGUAAAGCACUUUUGUCCGGAAAGAAAUGGCUCUGGUUAAUACCUGGGGUCGAUGACGGUACCGGAAGAAUAAGGACCGGCUAACUACGUGCCAGCCGCCGCCGCAG